UAGGGAAUCUUCGGCAAUGGGGGGAACCCUGACCGAGCAACGCCGCGUGAGUGAAGAAGGUUUUCGGAUCGUAAAGCUCUGUUGUUAAGGAAGAACGAGUGUGAGAAUGGAAAGUUCAUACUGUGACGGUACUUAACCAGAAAGGGACGGCUAACUACGUGCCAGCAGUCGCGGUAAUACGUAGGUCCCGAGCGUUGUCCGGAUUUAUUGGGCGUAAAGCGAGCGCAGGCGGUUAGAUAAGUCUGAAGUUAAAGGCAGUGGCUCAACCAUUGUAGGCUUUGGAAACUGUUUAACUUGAGUGCAGAAGGGGAGAGUGGAAUUCCAUGUGUAGCGGUGAAAUGCGUAGAUAUAUGGAGGAACACCGGUGGCGAAAGCGGCUCUCUGGUCUGUAACUGACGCUGAGGCUCGAAAGCGUGGGGAGCGAACAGG
rnacentral:rRNA from 1 species